rnacentral:rRNA from 1 species
AUUGAACGCUGGCGGCAGGCCUAACACAUGCAAGUCGAGCGAGCGGCGGACGGGUGAGUAAUGUAUGGGGAUCUGCCCGAUAGAGGGGGAUAACUACGGGAAAAGGUGGCUAAUACCGCAUAAUAUCGGAUGAACUCAUAUGGGAUUAGCUAGUAGGUGGGGUAAAGGCUCACCUAGGCGAUGAUCUCUAGCUGGUCUGAGAGGAUGAGCGGCCACACUGGGACUGAGACACGGCCCAGACUCCUACGGGAGGCAGCAGUAGGGAAUAUUGCACAAUGGGCGCAAGCCUGAUGCAGCCAUGCCGCGUGUAUGAAGAAGGCCUUAGGGUUGUAAAGCACUUUCAGCGGGGAGGCGUUACCCGCAGAAGAAGCACCGGCUAACUCCGUGCCAGCAGCCGCGGUAAUUC